GACGAACGCUGGCGGCAUGCCCAAUACAUGCAAGUCGAACGCAGUGGGGACGGGUGCGUAACACGUGGGUAACCUCCCAUCAGAGGGGAGAACACUUGGAAACAGGUGCUAAACCGAUACUGAUGGAUGGACCCGGGGGGGCUUAGCUAGUUGGUGAGGUAACGGCUCACCAAGGCCACGAUGCAUAGCCGGCCUGAGAGGGUGAUCGGCCACACUGGAACUGAGACACGGCCCAGACUCCUACGGGAGGCAGCAGUGGGGAAUAUUCGGCAAGGGACGAAAGCCUGACCGAGCAACGCCGCGUGAGUGAAGAAGGUUUUCGGAUCGUAAAACUCUGUUGUUAGAGAAGCGGUAUCUAACCAGAAAGCCACGGCUAACUACGUGCCAGCAGCCGCGGUAAUAC
rnacentral:rRNA from 1 species